UAGGGAAUCUUCGGCAAUGGGGGGAACCCUGACCGAGCAACGCCGCGUGAGUGAAGAAGGUUUUCGGAUCGUAAAGCUCUGUUGUUAAGGAAGAACGAGUGUGAGAAUGGAAAGUUCAUACUGUGACGGUACUUAACCAGAAAGGGACGGCUAACUACGUGCCAGCAGCCGCGGUAAUACGUAGGUCCCGAGCGUUGUCCGGAUUUAUUGGGCGUAAAGCGAGCGCAGGCGGUUAGAUAAGUCUGAAGUUAAAGGCAGUGGCUCAACCAUUGUAGGCUUUGGAAACUGUUUAACUUGAGUGCAGAAGGGGAGAGUGGAAUUCCAUGUGUAGCGGUGAAAUGCGUAGAUAUAUGGAGGAACACCAGUGGCGAAGGCGACUUUCUGGUCUGUAACUGACGCUGAUGUGCGAAAGCGUGGGGAUCAAACAGG
rnacentral:rRNA from 1 species